rnacentral:rRNA from 1 species
GGGAAUUUUCCGCAAUGGGCGAAAGCCUGACGGAGCAACGCCGCGUGAGGGAAGAAGGCCUCUGGGCUGUAAACCUCUUUUCUCAAGGAAGAAGAUCUGACGGUACUUGAGGAAUAAGCCACGGCUAAUUCCGUGCCAGCAGCCGCGGUAAUACGGGAGUGGCAAGCGUCAUCCGGAAUUAUUGGGCGUAAAGCGUCCGCAGGCGGCCUUUCAAGUCUGCUGUUAAAGCGUGGAGCUUAACUCCAUUAAGGCAGUGGAAACUGUUGGGCUUGAGUGUGGUAGGGGCAGAGGGAAUUCCCGGUGUAGCGGUGAAAUGCGUAGAUAUCGGGAAGAACACCAGUGGCGAAGGCGCUCUGCUGGGCCAUAACUGACGCUCAUGGACGAAAGCCAGGGGAGCGAAAGGGAUUAGAUACCCCUGUAGUCA